AGUCGGCUAGAGAGCGGGGCUCUUCUUCUUCCGGGGAGGCAAAGUCCUCUACUGAUCGAAGGUUCGGAGGUCUUCGUCAACAU
rnacentral:tRNA from 1 species